UCCGCUAUGGUGUAGUGGCUAACAUUAUCGCCUCUCAUACUCCCAGUUGCUCUGGUGCGCGAUAGCCCAGCGUUCGAUUCCCUGUAACGGAA